GACGAACGCUGGCGGCGUGCUUAACACAUGCAAGUCGAACGCAGUGGCGAACGGGUGAGUAACGCGUAAUCAACCUGCCCUUCAGAGGGGGACAACAGUUGGACACGACUGCUACUACCGCAUACUGAAGGAGGGGAUUGCGUCGGAUUAGCUAGUUGGAGGGGUAACGGCCCACCAAGGCGAUGAUCCGUAGCCGGUCUGAGAGGAUGAACGGCCACAUUGGGACUGAGACACGGACCAGAUUCCUACGGGAGGCAGCAGUGGGGAAGUGUCCGCAAUUGACGAAAGUCUGACGGAGCAACGCCGCGUGAGUGAGGACGGCCUUCGGGUUGUAAAGCUCUGUUAAUCGGGACGCGGUACCGGAAUAGAAAGCCACGGCUAACUACGUGCCAGCAGCCGCGGUAAUUC
rnacentral:rRNA from 1 species